GCUAGUGUUUCUACUUACUGCUUCAAGUAUUGCAUUUCUGAGUUAUGGCUGCAAAGUUCUGUUGAGGAGUUUGGCCUUCUAGAUCUUAAUAGUGAAAUAUAGCAGUUUGGCGCAACUAUCUACCAAAUUGGUACUACUAAUGGCAUUAUUGUCAUAACACUUUGAUCAUACCUAACGUGGCAAGCACAUUUGAAAGUCUAAUCUUCUUUCAAUCUGGUGUUUACCAUACGUACUAUUAGCAACACUUGUCACGUGUUGGCCACACGUCUUCAUUCCAAAGCUAAUUUGAUUUCAUUUGGAGCCAAUCGCUGAAGCCGUUGCCCGCAACGACGGUGUGUUAGGAACCGUCCUGGCGUGUGCUGGUGGGAUCAUAUUUCAUCAACUACAGCAAUGGCUUCAAGUGCCACGUUUGCUAGGCCCGAGACUGCUGCUCUGCCUGGACGCUAUGGAUCUACCUGCAUGCCUCACUUGCCACAAAUUGAACAUCCCAUGUCAAGGCUUGGUGACAGGAAAAAACUUACAGUGCAAGGUAUUCAUUCUGCCGGAGACAAGCGGCGACCAGCUACGUCAAACGGAGUCAUGGCUACUGAAAAUGACGUUCAUCAACACCAAUCAGGCCGUUUGUUUCCUCCAUUAAACAGCCAUUCUUUAGAAACAGUGCCAGAAGAUGGAAAAGUUCAAGCUCCAGCUGUAUAUCCUCAAGAACUUCCUGCCAGUCGAGCUGUCAGUCACAAAAGCCAUCUCCGUCCAUUAACACAAUCUGCAGGACGAGAACGAACUGUACAAGAGUUAGAAUCAGCUCUUCGUGAAAAAUUUCGAACCGGUAGCUUUUAUCAGAUCAGACAUGCAUUUAGGACAUUUGAUGCUACAGGGCAUGGAGCAGUGAGCAAAGAAGCAUUGUUUCGGAUCAUUGUAAAUGUUUUUCCUUUCACAAGUCAUGCCACAUUUCGCAAGCUGCUGGAAAGGCUUGGUUUGGACAAAAAAACUGCUAUUACAUUUGACGACUUUUAUGCACAGUUUAGGAAGCAAGAGCCUGCUCAACCAAAAUGGCUUGAUCCAGUGUCUAGACAUGGUCCUCGGUUCUUGACAGCAUUUCAAGUGCAUCAGCAACUAAAGGAAAAAGCUCGACAGAAAUUUGUAACAAUGGGAGAAUUGUUUCCAAGUGGAAAACUAGAUGGACGAGUCAUUAAACUUGAGUUGAAAAGUAUGCUCAAUCAGCUGUCACUUCCUGUUGAUGAUGAGGAAUUUGAAAAGUUGUGGCAAAGGUAUGAUACUGAAGGACGUGGUGUUGUUCAAGUGGAAAAAUUAAUGGCUAAGCUGGGAAUAGAGCUUAAGGAAUCAACUACACAAGAUUCAAAGACUUCUUUUGGGAAAGACAAAGGAAACCCUGGGGUUAAAAGGUUUCAUGAUGGAAAACAAAAAGAUUCAAAGCGACAAAGUUUAAAUAAUGGUGGUUCUUCUGAUGUCGAAAACAUGAUGCGAAGUCAAUUAAACAAUGGAUUUAUACGAAUGAAAAAUACUUUUGAGAAGGUGGAUGUGAGAAAAACAGGAAAAGUAAGCAGUGAUGAACUACGUCAAGUUCUUGGUCAGUUUGGCAUAAAGUUGUCGCCUCAUGAAUGCAGUGAUCUGCUGACACGGUGUGGUGUUGCUGGUUCUAAUCUAUUCAGCUAUCAUCAGUUUUUAUAUCGGUUUUUGGAUCGUUCUGAAGGAAGUCUAACUAAUGCAAUUUUAACUGACCCUCAACAUGAAUUCAAUUAUUCUAAUUCAAAAUCGACGGCUUUGACGGCUUCAGCUGCUGAAUCGUCACUUAUGAACUUGCUGCAAGGAGAUUUUCUGUCUCUGCUGGGAACAUUCCAGGCGUUGGAUCGUGAUGGGACGGGUGCUGUUAGUCAGAAGGAUUUCAGAACCAUUCUUGAAGGGCAUUUAAAGUGGACAUUAACUGAUACCCAGUUUUUGCACCUUCUCAAAGAUGUUCAUCUGACAAGUGAUGGGUUGGUGCUGUAUGCCGAGUUUCUUUCAAAAUUUGAUCGCGGCAACACAAGGGCUAUCUUUCCAUUACCAGAUGAACGAAGCCAAGAUGAAGGAAGGAGUAUUGAAGAGGUGGAAGCAUACAUUCGGUCUACAUUGAAACCACAUUAUACACAAAUAUUCAAGACACUUGAAGAGUUGGAUGGCACAAAUUCUGGGCAUCUGACACAAGACUUGCUGUGGGAGCUGUUUCACAGAUUUCAAGUUGAGAUCAGCUAUGGGGAAAUGUCACGACUCUGGCCUCGGUUUAUCAAAGCAGCAAAUGAAACACUUGAUUUUCAUGAAUUUAUGAGACACUUUGGGCUCAAAGUUAAAUCAGCAGGAGUGAAUAAACGGCAGCAAAGUUUGGGUAAACGCUGGACUGAGGAUCAUUGUUAUCAGAGGUCUAGAACUCUUCACAGAGAAGAAGAUAUGGUUGAACAGUCACUGAAGGCAAAAGUGACGUAUUACUACUCUAGUGUAUGGAAGCGUUUUGUUGCACUGGAUCCAAAUGGUACUGGAAUGGUUGACAAAACAGGUUUUCAGGAAGUGAUUCAGAACUUGGUGCCAGAAAUGACUGUUCUUGAAAUUGACCAACUGGGAAAGAGAUAUGAUCCUUACAGGGAUGGCAGGGUUAAUUAUCUUACAUUUCUGGAGCCAUUCAAGCCAUCGAGCCAGACCUAUCGUGUUGGUAAUAAUCUAGGAUCACUGCUUUCACAUAGAAGUAGAGAUGCUACUGAUGAAUUGAAGCCAGUACAACUUGUGGCUGAAAAACCAACAAAAGGAGUUCCUGGUCUUAUUGGGAGUCUAAGGAACAAGAUUUUCCUAAAAUGGAGAAAUAUCUGCCGAUCAUUUAAAACUCUGGAUACUUCUGCAACUGGGAAACUGAGUCAGGAUGAAUUUUCUGCUGUCUUGAAGCUAUCAGGAAUCUUUCUAACGGAGCAAGAGCUUUCCGUGAUUGUUUCCGAGUUUAGAGAUGCAGAGGGCAAUGGUAUUUGCUAUAAAGAGUUUCUCAACACAAUAAGGGCUACAUGACUGAGCUGUCAGAACUAUACGUAGGUAGUACUGUGGUAUAUGUAAUAAGAUGUGCAUUUAGUGACUGUACAAUUAAGGAAAUCGCUUUAUUGCUCUCUGAAUUGAAGUGCUCUGUAUGUAUACAUUUGAAUUCUCCACAUGUUGUCUACAUAAUGGCAGAUUCAGA